AUGUUUCCUGUAGCUGUGCUGCUGCUGUUGGCAGCUGGAUCAUAUGUGAAGUGUGAAACUUUGACGCAGCCAGCCUCUGUGACUGUGCAGCCAGGUCAACCUCUGUCCAUCAGCUGCCAGGUCUCUUAUACUCUCACCAGCUACUGGACAGCAUGGAUCAGACAGCCUGCAGGAAAAGGACUGGAGUGGAUUGGGUGGAAACAUGGUGGAGGGGGCGUAUACUAUAAAGAUUCAUUAAAGAACAAGUUCAGUAUCGACAUAGACACUUCCAGCAAAACAGUGACUCUAAAGGGACAGAACGUGCAGCCUGGAGACACUGCUGUGUAUUACUGUGCCAGAGUUUGCUGCAUAAUGUUCAUCAUUUCUUCACUUACAGGAGUUUGGAGUGAGAUCAAACUGGACCAGUCUCCAUCGCAGGUGAAAACACCUGGAGAGACGGUGAAGAUGUCAUGUGUCAUAUCUGGGUUCGACAUGACAAAGUACUAUAUACACUGGAUACGGCAGAAGCUGGGGGAAGGUUUGGAGUGGAUCGGGCAGAUGUACGCAGGUUCAAACUCUGCCAGCUAUAGCAGCUCCUUUCAAAACCGUUUUAUCAUGACUGAGGAUGUUUCAAGCAGCACUCAGUUCCUUCAGGUCGAGAGUCUGAAAGCAGAAGAUGCUGCUGUUCUAUAA